rnacentral:lncRNA from 1 species
AUUCAAAUAUUUGUUUUCGCCAAAAACAUCUUCGACACGCAUAUCCAUAGAACCGUAAUACAAUAACUAUUAUUUACAUUUUAAAAUAUUUUCUUGAAUAUCGAUAACCCACCAUUUUUAGGAACGAUUUAAAUACUAACCUGUAAUUUAAAGAGCUAUCGAUUUUCGUUACAAAAUGUAAUGUAUGCAUAAGCGCCAACUUGUGAGGCAGUUGGGGGCGAAGCUCUUUAAAAUUGAACCAAAUGCAAUGUUUUUCAAGCAAACGCACUUCUGUUCACAUUAACCUUCCAGUCGUCGCGCAGUUUGCCACCGUCAGAACCACCACGCUGCAGUUGUGAACGAAAAGCGAUGUUUUUUCAACACUGUUGUACAAAAUACAACAGCGCGACGACUGAAGUGUUAAUAUGUCACGUUUGGGUGAACUGCAUUGAUUUUGUUUGAAAUUAUGCGUUUUUGGAACGUCCGUGAUAUGAUUCUUUCAUUGUGAUUUCAUACUUAUUCAUCUGCUACAUAUGUCUAAAAAUUCUGCAAUGAUUUUCAGAAAAUGUGAAUAAUAAAUGCUUGACGUUUUUAGGUACGCUAUUAAUUUAAUCCAAAACUCUUAAAAUAUAUAUGAAAAUUCAGAAUGGGUUCAACUGUUUUUUAAUACAGUAUAUCAAAAACGUUUUUUUUUAGAUUUUUUUUUUCGGAUUUUCUGAAGGUUUAAAUCUGACGCAUCUCUAAUAAUGUUUCAAAUCUAUUUUUGAAUAGACUGUUGUUCGUCUUCAAAAUCGUUGGAAUCUGAUUUUUGCCUGCUAAAUUUUUCAAAAUUUGAUUUAUACAAUAAGAAAUGAUAAUAAUGAGUGCAACCGAAACUUAGAAAUGGGUACUUCCUUAUCUCAAAAACAAAAACCUCAUAUCAAAUAUUGGGCGUUGCAAAAAUUUCUAAAUAUUCUCAGAUGCAUGUCCAAAUCCACUGACUAACACGCAGAGAAAACAGACCUUUUUGUUUCAAAAAUAAAUAUUAUUGAAAUAUUUUUAAAAACUACAAUUGUUUUUGUUGAAUACAAAUAUUAAAUUUUAUUGUUCCAAAAAAUUUAAUUGUUGUUUUUACACCAAACUGAUUGGAACACAAGUACCUUAGAUUCAAUAAAAUAUUUUAUUGGCUAUUGACAUAAUCUGUUUUGCUUUCAAAAAAAGUUUUUUUGUUUCAAAAAAUCCUAAUAUUGAUACACAUACAUAUGCAUUAUAUGAGAGUGUAUGAGUAUGUUUUUUUUUGCUAGUAUGUACGCACGGCCAGACGCCAUUUCCAUGAUUUGAAACAAAGCUAAAAUGGAUUCAACAGAAGAAGUACUGGCUAUGAAUGUUGAGGAAGUUAUUGACGCGCUGGUGGAUUUAUUGCUGAGUUUUGGACUCUCUGAAGAAUUUAUCAAUCGUACCCUGGAAAAUCAAUAUACCCUUGAAACCAUGCAAAUCCUGGAACGGAAGGAAAUUCAAGAAUUGAUGCAUGGAUUGUCCAGGUAUCUCCACCAUUAUCCACAGAUUGCCUUUCGACCGCAUCACCGGUGGUAAGAGAAAGUAAUUCCGAAGCCAUCACUCGUGAACGGUGCAUGGUUAUUUACGUGCUGACCGCGUCAACAAAAUGCCGAGUUAUUUGCAGAAAUGGCAAAUGCAAUUUUUUAACCAGGAGCUUAUAAGAAGGCAAUAACUCAUCUAAUGAUUAUUUGUAAAUGAGAUGUAAAUAAAAUCUAAAUUGAGAGAAAA